rnacentral:rRNA from 1 species
AUUGAACGCUGGCGGAAUGCUUUACACAUGCAAGUCGAGCGGCAGCGCGGCCUUCGGGCUGGCGGCGAGCGGCGAACGGGUGAGUAAUGCAUCGGAACAUGCCCAGUCGUGGGGGAUAACACUUCGAAAGAAGUGCUAAUACCGCAUACGUCCUGAGGGGGAAAGCGGGGGAUCGCAAGACCUCGCGCGAUUGGAGUGGCCGAUGUCAGAUUAGCUAGUUGGUGGGGUAAAGGCCUACCAAGGCGACGAUCUGUAGCUGGUCUGAGAGGAUGAUCAGCCACACUGGGACUGAGACACGGCCCAGACUCCUACGGGAGGCAGCAGUGGGGAAUUUUGGACAAUGGGGGCAACCCUGAUCCAGCCAUUCCGCGUGAGUGAAGAAGGCCUUCGGGUUGUAAAGCUCUUUCGGCAGGAACGAAACGGUGGGCUCUAACAUAGUCCGCUAAUGACGGUACCUGGAGAAGAAGCACCGGCUAACUACGUG